AGCAAGUGGGUGGAGUGGUUUGCCGCGUAAAUGUUGGAGACUUGCAUUAACCAAUUAGCUACGGCAACCUCCGCUCUAUAUAAAUUCCGUCAAACACCAAAUUUUUUCUCGCAAAAUUUUCCCACUUUUUCUUUAUCCAAGAAAAUAAAGAAAAAGAAAAGAAAAUCUUUACGUAUCUCCAAAGUUCUUCGAAUCAGAUUUCCUUAUCAUCAAAACCAUGAAGAAAUCAGUGUUCUUCGCCGCCUCCGUCGUCGCUGCCUCUGCUUCCUCCAAUCUCACUUGUAACUCAAAUUUUCAGCUUUCCAGCGAGGACAAGAAAGAACAUGAAAAAUCUUCUGCAAAUAAGAAAUCAGCUUCAACGGAGAAAUUUACGCCGAGGUUUGAUGGGUUAAGGUUCAUUGAGACUUUGGUCACUGCUCAUCGAUGAAACUUGAUGAAGAUUUUUCGUUAAUUCUAACCUUUUUGUUCAUCCUUCUAAGAAGGAAAUGAAAGAGAUGUGAUGUAUUGGUAUGCAUAGAUAUAUGUAUUAUCAAUGAAUCAGAUAAAAUUAAUUUAAAUGCUCAAAAUAAUUGAAAUCCAAAUGGAAAUGA